AGUCACUGACAUUAGAUACCCGGGUAGUCCCAGCCGUAAACAGUGUGCGUUAGGUAUGUCGGUAACCACGUGUUACUGAUGUGCCGAAGAGAAAUCGUGAAACGCACCACCUGGGAAGUACGGUCGCAAGGCUGAAACUUAAAGGAAUUGGCGGGGAGCACCACAACAGGCGGAGCCUGCGGUUUAAUUGGAUUCAACGCCGGACAUCUCACCGGAUAAGACAGCUGAAUGAUUGUCAAUCUGAAGGUUUUACAUGACUAGCCG
rnacentral:rRNA from 1 species